rnacentral:rRNA from 1 species
AAGACCUUGCGCUUUUGGAGCGGCCGAUGUCUGAUUAGCUUGUUGGUGAGGUAAAAGCUUACCAAGGCUUCGAUCAGUAGCUGGUCUGAGAGGACGGCCAGCCACACUGGGACUGAGACACGGCCCAGACUCCUACGGGAGGCAGCAGUGGGGAAUUUUGGACAAUGGGGGCAACCCUGAUCCAGCCAUGCCGCGUGAGUGAAGAAGGCCUUCGGGUUGUAAAGCUCUUUCAGCCGGGAAGAAAAGGCUGCGACGAAUAAUCGUAGCUCAUGACGGUACCGGAAGAAGAAGCACCGGCUAACUACGUGCCAGCAGCCGCGGUAAUACGUAGGGUGCGAGCGUUAAUCGGAAUUACUGGGCGUAAAGGGUGCGCAGGCGGUUUUGUAAGUCAGAUGUGAAAUCCCCGGGCUUAACCUGGGAACU